UACGUAGGGGGCAAGCGUUGUCCGGAAUUAUUGGGCGUAAAGCGCGCGCAGGCGGUCAUUUAAGUCUGGUGUUUAAACCUUGGGCUCAACCUGGGGUCGCACUGGAAACUGGGUGACUUGAGUACAGAAGAGGAAAGUGGAAUUCCACGUGUAGCGGUGAAAUGCGUAGAUAUGUGGAGGAACACCAGUGGCGAAGGCGACUUUCUGGGCUGUAACUGACGCUGAGGCGCGAAAGCGUGGGGAGCAAACA
rnacentral:rRNA from 1 species